rnacentral:rRNA from 1 species
UAUGUGAUCGUCUCUCGCAUAUCAAUAAGCGGAGGAAAAGAAACUAACAAGGAUUCCCCUAGUAACGGCGAGUGAAGCGGGAAGAGCUCAAAUUUGAAUCUUAAAGGGUUUCCCUUUACGAAUUGUAGUUUAAAGAAGUGUUUUCUGUUGAGGUUUUGGUAAAAGUUCUUUGGAAUAGGACAUCAUAGAGGGUGAGAAUCCCGUAUUUGACCUUUACUUUCAACUUUGUGAUACACUUUUCAAAGAGUCGGAUUGUUUGGGAAUGCAGUCCAAAAUGGGUGGUAAAUUUCAUCUAAAGCUAAAUAUUGGCGAGAGACCGAUAGCGAACAAGUACCGUGAGGGAAAGAUGAAAAGAACUUUGAAAAGAGAGUUAAACAGUACGUGAAAUUGUCAAAAGGGAAGCGUUUGACACCAGUGUUGUUUUUCUGAAAAUCAAUUAAAGAACUGUUUAUGCUAAGUUGUUUAGACUUUAUCAGCUAACUGUUUAGUUUUGAGCUUUUCUUUAAUGCACUUUUCAGUUAACAAGUCAACAUCAAUUUCUUUUGCUGUAAAAAAGCUUGAGGAAGGUGGCUUGAGAUUCGUCUUAAGUGUUUAUAGCCUCUUGCCUAUGCAGUCGGAGAGAUUGAGGUCUGCAGCGUAGAUCCUUCGGGGCUAAAUGCAUUUGUGCUAAGUUAUAACAUUUUAUAGACAACUUGUUGACUAUGAUUUGUCUUGUAGCUUACUCGCUUAUGUUAUUUUACCUACGCUUAGGAUGUUGAGUAGCGACAUACGCAC